CGCUGAAUUUCUUCCUCAAGCAAAGGUACAAGUUGUUGACAAGGUAAAAUGGCGACAACGGCAUUGUCAUGGAGUUCUUGCUCCUGGUUGCACAACUCAAGCAUCACAAAUAUAAACAACAACAAUAACAACAUGCAUGAAAAUGGCAAGAUGACAGACAAGGGGACAUCGUCCAUGAUGGUGCUCGCUCAAAAGAAAGCAAAGAAGUAUCGAAAGAUUAUUUUGAAGGAGGAUGUUUCAGAGCUUGGAAAGAAAGGGCAGCUGCUUGACGUCAAGGCUGGGUUCUACCGGAACUACCUUUUCCCCAUGGGCAAGGCCCAAAUUGUCACUCCUAUUCUACUCAAGGAAAUGCGAUUAGAAGAGGAGAGAAUUGAGGCCGAAAAGAAGCGGGUAAAAGAAGAGGCACAACAACUAGCUUUGAUUUUUGAAACUGUUGGAGCCUUCAAGAUGAAGCGCAAAGGCGGAAAAGGAAAACAAAUUUUUGGAUCUGUCACAGCACAAGAUCUUGUUGACAUUAUUAAGGCACAACUUCAGAGGGAUGUGGACAAGCGGAUUGUUUCUCUUCCCGAAAUCCGUGAAACCGGGGAAUACAUUGCAGAGCUGAAGCUUCACCCUGAAGUUACUGCCCGGGUGAGGGUAACUGUGUAUGCUAACUAGGACAACCCAUUGCUUGGAAAGCCGCCCACUUAGUGAUGGAAAAUCAGCCAUGCUGCUUGUGCAGGAGAAAAGCUGAUGGUCAGUAUGAAUCAUGCAUGGGGACAUACCUGCAGAAGGAUGAGGAGACUUUUUUUUUUUUUCUUCUUUUUUUUUUUUCUUGGUGAUGGCAUGUCGAAUAACAAAGAAUUCUCAUCGGCUAUGUUUAUUCAUUGUUGUUUUCAUGGUUCUAAUCAUGUGCUGUUUUUGUUUCCUAUUUUAAGCAAUUUUUCUUUAUUACAGUAUCAGAAAAUUCAAUUUGCACUAGAGUGUUUGUU